GGUACAACCUGGCGACAGCAGCUCCGGUAGAGUCCAACUGGGCUUAAGGAAGGAGAUUCGUUCCUCUCUUCUCCCAGGCCCCUUUCAUAUCAUCCUAGGGCUGAAUGCCCUUCGGGGGACCUGAAACAAAGUGUCCCCAGGGAAAACGACUUUGGAGUCACCAGGACCUAGCAUAAAUCUGGAGCAGCUUCAACCAGUCCCGUGACCAUGCAGGUCUAGCAGCCCAUGUGGACUCUAAAUGCAGGCUCCAAGAGGGAGCCUGGGUGCAGCAGUGCAGCCAGGAACAGCACUAAGUUACCUGGAUGGGAACUGAGACUGCUUAGCAGCCACCUGCAGGCUUCAAAGGACUAAGCUUUAGUAUGAAACAGAAACCUGGACACUGGCAUUUGUUUUGACCUUUGCUGAAGAUGCAUUUGGACUAUUUCCAUGGCAGGCCGAACAGAAAUGUGAUACAGAGAAACCAUUUGUUUCCACCCAAAUAAA